UAUAACGGUCCUAAGGUAGCGAAAUUCCUUGUCGGGUAAGUUCCGACCUGCACGAAUGGCGUAACGAUCUGGGCGCUGUCUCGGUGAGCGACUCAGCGAAUCUGUAGUACCGGUGAAGAUGCCGGUUACCCGCAGCAAGACGGAAAGACCCCGUGCACCUUUACUACAACCUGACAGUGGAUUCUGGUGCUGCAUGUGCAGUAUAGGUGGGAGGCUUUGAAGCGUGGACGUUAGUCUGCGUGGAGCCACCAGUGAGAUACCACCCUUGUGGUACUGGAAUUCUAACCCAAGGCCGUGAAUCCGGUCUGGGGACACUGUUAGGCGGGUAGUUUGACUGGGGCGGUCGCCUCCCAAAUGGUAACGGAGGCGCCCAAAGGUACCCUCAGGCUGUUUGGAAAUCAGCCGUAGAGUGCAAAGGCACAAGGGUGCUUGACUGCGAGACAUACAGGUCGAGCAGGUGCGAAAGCAGGGCUUAGUGAUCCGGCGGUUCCGAAUGGAAGGGCCGUCGCUCAACGGAUAAAAGGUACGCCGGGGAUAACAGGCUUAUCUUGCCCAAGAGUUCACAUCGACGGCAAGGUUUGGCACCUCGAUGUCGGCUCAUCGCAUCCUGGGGCUGAAGCAGGUCCCAAGGGUUCGGCUGUUCGCCGAUUAAAGCGGUACGUGAGCUGGGUUUAGAACGUCGUGAGACAGUUCGGUCCCUAUCUGCUGUGGGCGCAGGAUACUUGUUGGGAUGGUUUCCUAGUACGAGAGGACCGGAAACCACGAGCCUCCAGUGUACCAGUUGUUCCGCCAGGGGCAGCGCUGGGUAGCUGUGCUCGGAAAGGAUAAGCGCUGAAAGCAUCUAAGCGCGAAGCCCACCCAGAGAUGAGGUAUCCCUCCACUUCGGUGGCUGAAGACCCCUCGAAGACUACGAGGUUGAUAGGCUGGAGGUGUAAGUGCAGUAAUGUACUCAGCUUACCAGUACUAAUCGGUCGUGAGGCUUGACCUU
rnacentral:ncRNA from 1 species